CCUACGGGUGGCAGCAGUGGGGAAUAUUGGACAAUGGGCGAAAGCCUGAUCCAGCCAUGCCGCGUGUGUGAAGAAGGCCUUCGGGUUGUAAAGCACUUUCAGUGGGGAAGAAAGCCUUGGGGCUAAUACCCUCGAGGAAGGACAUCACCCACAGAAGAAGCACCGGCUAACUCCGUGCCAGCAGCCGCGGUAAUACGGAGGGUGCGAGCGUUAAUCGGUAUUACUGGGCGUAAAGCGCGCGUAGGCGGUCUGAUAAGCCGGUUGUGAAAGCCCCGGGCUCAACCUGGGAACGGCAUCCGGAACUGUCAGGCUAGAGUGCAGGAGAGGAAGGUAGAAUUCCCGGUGUAGCGGUGAAAUGCGUAGAGAUCGGGAGGAAUACCAGUGGCGAAGGCGGCCUUCUGGACUGACACUGACGCUGAGGUGCGAAAGCGUGGGUAGCAAACAGGAUUAGAUACCCUGGUAGUC
rnacentral:rRNA from 1 species